AAAUUGAUUAUUGCAUGAUAAUUAAUUGAAAGAUGCAAUUGCAUCACUACCAGAUGGACCUGCGUUGUAUUAGCUAGUUGGUGAGGUAACGGCUCACCAAGGCGACGAUACAUAGCCGACCUGAGAGGGUGAUCGGCCACACUGGGACUGAGACACGGCCCAGACUCCUACGGGAGGCAGCAGUAGGGAAUCUUCGGCAAUGGGGGGAACCCUGACCGAGCAACGCCGCGUGAGUGAAGAAGGUUUUCGGAUCGUAAAGCUCUGUUGUAAGAGAAGAACGGGUGUGAGAGUGGAAAGUUCACACUGUGACGGUAUCUUACCAGAAAGGGACGGCUAACUACGUGCCAGCAGCCGCGGUAAUACGUAGGUCCCGAGCGUUGUCCGGAUUUAUUGGGCGUAAAGCGAGCGCAGGCGGUUAGAUAAGUCUGAAGUUAAAGGCUGUGGCUUAACCAUAGUAUGCUUUGGAAACUGUUUAACUUGAGUGCAGAAGGGGAGAGUGGAAUUCCAUGUGUAGCGGUGAAA
rnacentral:rRNA from 1 species